ACAAACAAUGGGAGGAAUCCAGAGUGGAGCAGGGAGAGAAGCAAGGAAGGGACCCCAAGGAUUGGCAGCAAUACAAUUGUCAGCCUGGCUUAGAGUGGGUCCUGUGACUAUGGCUUCUGCCAGAUGCUUUUAAAGAAGAUAGAAGCUGUGCACAACAAGCAAAUGGUAAAGAAGGCAGAGCCGGAGCAGUUCCUCCUGCAGUGCUUUUGUCACAUGGCCCCAUCUCUGACCUCACUGCUGUUGUGUCACCUGAGACUCCUCUCUGUAAACCUGUACCAGAGCCUCUGUGCUGCAGAGCAAAAUGGUAUGGAAACAUAGGGCAGUAUUGGAGGGAGGGAGGGAGGGAUGUGGAAUUGGCAAAUGUCUUCAGCAUGAUGGUAGGGACACAGUCUUAACUCAUUUUGAGGUUACUACUGUAAAAAU
rnacentral:lncRNA from 1 species